rnacentral:rRNA from 1 species
UACGGGGGGGAGCAAGCGUUUGUUCGGAUUUACUGGGCGUAAAGGGCGCGUAGGCGGUCGUGACAAGUCACUUGUGAAAUCUCCGGGCUUAACUCGGAACGGUCAAGUGAUACUGUCGGACUAGAGUACAGAAGGGGCAACUGGAAUUCUCGGUGUAGCGGUGAAAUGCGCAGAUAUCAGGAGGAACACCAAUAGCGAAGGCAGCUCGCUGGGACGGUACUGACGCUA